AGCUGCCACCUGGACGACUGCUGGUACAGAUGGGAGGUGGCCUUUGCUGCUUUCCAUCUUCUCACUGCAGUUUCUUCACAUGGGCCACUUGUACUUAAAAUGUCUUCUUAAUUUAUUUUUUUUACUUCCCCAGCUCCAAUUUGUCUACAGAUUUACAAAUUUGUUUUAUAGUUUUAUGACUCAAUUUGUAUUUUUGAUCCUAUGAAGCUUUUUGCCCUAAAUAUUUUUCUCUGUUUAUAAAAAUGUACUGUUUCCUAGGCCAGUUUUGUACACACUCUUCCAUAGAAUAGAUCCAGAAAAAACACAAUACUGCCUUCAUCAUAUCAGGAGAUCUUGAUACCAAAUACGAGUGUUGCCUCCAAGAUGCAAGAGCCUGAGAGCUCUGAAGAAUCCACUGUCCAUCGCAAAUCGACGGUCUGCCAGCUCAGUUUUAGAGACGUGAUGCUCCACUGCAGACCUCAUCCUCUUGUGCACCCUGGCAGUCAGCCAUCUGAAGGUACUAUGGAAAUUCAAUUUCAGGGACCACCUGGCAGGGGAGCGGACCAGAGAGACUUCCUCAGAAUAGGCUGUGGCUCUUCACAAGGUGUCUUCUAUGCUUUAUUUGGGAGCCAUUGCCUUGAGCGCUGUUUCCCACAUGGUUUUUUAAUGUCAUCAACUGAAGAAAAGACCCACGCACACAGGACACAGCAUGAUCUGAUGCUUACAGCAUUUUCCUUCCUCUCUGAAAAUGGACUCAGCGAUUCUGGCAAGCGGUACUUACUCUGAGAUCACCCGUUUGCUAAGGAAAAAUCUUAGCAUUGAGAAAGGUGAAACUUUCCUCCCUGCUUUUGCUGGAGAGACACUUUGGUUAUGAGUUAUUUCUAGCAUAACACAGUUUAUUUCAGAAGUCCGGCUCAAUAGCAGACCAAGGCAUGAACAACACAUGAAAAUUUAUGUUGGGAAAAUAUAUAUUGUAUGUCUGCUUGAACUGUGGGUUCUUGAUUAAUACAAAACUGGUUGAUGAAGGUUGUUACCUUCAGGAAAAUGCAAAUCUAGUGGAGGGACAAAACUCACAGAAACAGUAUUUCAUCAUAGCCACCAUGAGGCAGUACAUUAUGAAGCAUGUCAGUGAUGAAUGACUGGCAGGCUGGUCUGUCAUUGAAGCUACACUCUGUUUCUAGCUUCUGUUGCUUCUGCUGUCUCUCUCCUAACAUUUGCAUAUUCCUCCACUUUGUGGUGGAGGAAGCAUUAGGACUGAUAUAGGGGAUUUCCAGUGAGUGUAUAAUUCAGUGCAGAAUUGGCAGGAAUAUAUUCCAUGGUUAGGAGCCGGAGAAAGUAAGAAAUAAAAUAGACCUUGAAGAAUGGGUAAGAUUUUCAAAAUCAGAGAUAAAGAAGCAAGAAAGAGAAUUUACUUUUUCAAGUUUCUAAGCAAUCAUAUAUAUAUAUAUAUAUAUAUAUAUAUAUAUACACACACAUAUAUAUUUACAUGCAUAGACAUUUUGCUGGUUUCUGUCUUACUAAUGUAUACUACACUGUGUCUAAUCACUCUGAGGGCUGGUAUUUCGGGUCUGUUUCAGACACUCAGGAAUCAUUUGUUCUAUAUGCUGUUCUAUAUGCUUGUUCUAUAUGCUGGAAACUGUUGCAGGGAUGGAUAUAUGCAGUCCUUGUCCCAAAGCAGCUUAUGACUCCAAGAGCAAGGGAUAGAAUAUGAACAUGUGUCUUAGGGUUACUUCCAGGGGUAAGAAUGAGUUCUGUGGCCAGAUGCAUACAGGAAGUGGGGAGAGGGAGAAUGAGAUGCAAACUAUCCAGGCAGGAGGCAUUGCAGUAAUCAAAGUGAACUAUGAGAGAAGCCUGGGCUGAUGUAAAAA
rnacentral:lncRNA from 1 species